rnacentral:rRNA from 1 species
AAUCAACGCUGGCGGCGUGCCUAACACUUGCAAGUCGAGCGAGAAAAGGGGGGCAACUCCCUGAGUACAGCGGCGCACGGGUGAGUAACACGUGGGUAAUCUGCCCUGAAGUGGGGAAUAACACCGGGAAACCGGUGCUAAUACCGCAUAUGAUCACGAUGUCUGCGGACGUAGUGAUGAAAGGAGCAAUUCGCUUCAGGAGGAGCCCGCGGCUGAUUAGCUAGUUGGUGAGGUAAUGGCUCACCAAGGCAACGAUCAGUAUCCGGUCUGAGAGGACGGUCGGACACACUGGAACUGAGACACGGUCCAGACUCCUACGGGAGGCAGCAGUGGGGAAUUUUUCGCAAUGGGGGAAACCCUGACGAAGCAACGCCGCGUGGGUGAUGAAGUCUCUUGGGACGUAAAACCCUUUCGACAGGGAAGAAACCGCAAGGUUGACGGUACCUGUAGAAGAAGCCCCGGCUAACUCCGUGCCAGCAGCCGCCGUAAAAC